GACAGUGUCAGGCGGGGAGUUUGACUGGGGCGGUACAUCUGUUAAAUAAUAACGCAGGUGUCCUAAGGUUAGCUCAGUGAGGACAGAAACCUCACGUAGAGUAAAAGGGCAAAAGCUAACUUGAUCUAUGACCUUCAGUACUGGUAUAGACCGCGAAAGCGUGGCCUAUCGAUCCUUUUGUUGUUCUUAAACGGUUGACAGUUUCAAGCAAGAGGUGUCAGAAAAGUUACCACAGGGAUAACUGGAUUUGAGAUGUCUACGGAUUUGGGGCAACUUUGGAUCCGUGGAUGAGCCAUAGAGGGUGAAAGUCCCUUAAUGCGCAGGUAUUGAUGCUACGAAUCAGAGCAGUGAUGUCUGGUAAAACAGGCGUUGCGGUUUGUUAGAGUCGGGUUGCUUGAGAGUGCAACCUAAAGAGCGAGGUAAACUGCUCGUAAGGCUAUGUAAAUACGGCUACGACACCGAUAGCAAACAAGUACCGUGAGGGAAAGUUGCAAAGUACUUUGAAGAGAGAGUUAAACAGGGCGUGAAACCGCUAGCUGGUAAAACCCGUCUUGAAACACGGACCAAGGAGUGUAGGAGGGUUGUGUUGGUAGCGUUGAAGGCUAUGAGGGAGUGAUCCUGGCUGGAGCUGCCAAUAGUACAGAUCUUGGUGGUAGUAGCAAAUACUCAAGUGAGACCCUUGAGGGCCAAUGUGGAGAAGGGUUCCAUGCUAACAGCAAUUGGACAUGGGUCAGUCGGUGAAUUAGGUUAAUAUUCCUAAACCAAGAUGGGGAGAUGGCACGGACCACGGGAAUCCGACUGUCUAAUUAAAACAAAGCAUUGCGAUGGCCUAAGAUUGUGGUGUUGACGCAAUGUGAUUUCUGCCCAGUGCUAUGAAUGUCACAGUGAAGAAAUUCAUCUAAGCGCUAGUAAACGGCGGGAGUAACUAUGACUCUCUUGUGGUAGCCAAAUGCCUCGUCAUCUAAUUAGUGACGCGCAUGAAUGGAUUAACGAGAUUCCCACUGUCCCUAUCUACUACCUAGCGAAACCACAGCCAAGGGAACGGGCUUGGCAAAAUCAGCGGGGAAAGAAGACCCUGUUGAGCUUGACUCUAGUCUGGCUUUACGCGGAGUAUAUAUUUGUGGUGCAAAUCAUGGAUAUAUGCGUUGCGAGUGGAGCCACGAAGUCGUUUCGUAGAAUACGGGGCGCAAAUUCAGCUGAGGUCCCUAAAAAGGCUUUAGCGUAUUUUUGCUUGUCUCGCUAUCGUAAGCGUACACUGCAACCAAUUAGACGGCCAAUCGUGGAAACAGUUUGCAUGUCAACAGGGAAACUUGUUGCUUGUGAGCGCCAAAAUUUGUGUAUUUACUGUAGGUAGCCUGGUUAGAAUCUUGUAUUUUAUCUGGGUGUAUGACAUUCGUAAAUGCGUGAACUACGAUUGGGUACUGAUUGGCAAAAUGAAAAUUGAAUCGCAAGAUUCGUUUAUUCAUAGAAAGCGGCUAGCAUCGUAUUCAGGUACAAUUGCUCGCUGCUAGUAUAAGCUUGGUAUUUUUGAAUUCAGGCACGUAUAUUGUCAGUGGGCUUGCUCGUUGAUAUAUGCGCUGUUUCCUGUCUAAUCGGGUAUUAACUUUGCUGGCGGUUUGUUGUAAUUGCUACGAUAGCAUUGGAUGCGAUAGUUAGUUUGCAAGUAUUAGCAGUGAGUAGGUCGGCUUUCCACACGCGUUGAAUUAUCGUUCGUAAUAUGCGAUUAGUUAUGAUUCAACGCCUAAGAGAAUGGCGAAAGCUAUUUCUGAAUCAAAGGCAGUGUAAUCAAAACACAAUAAAAAACCAUUCGCCUAAUUGUGUAUUUUUAUUCAAUUGGUUAUCAAAUUGUGCUGUAUUCUGUAUGCAUGUCUAGCACUUCCGUAUUUAUACGUUUUUCGUGUUUAUGCUGGAUGCGUUUGAACGCAUGCAUGCCAGACCUAAAAUACAUGCAAAAAACAAUAUAACCGAACAUCAAAAAUAUCAAUGCACAAUAUGACAAAUGAGUGUAUAAUGAACACUGUAUGACUCGAAAGGUGCUGGUUGUGCGGUUAUUCACUUAGCUGUGCAACUAGCAUUGGCGGUAACGCAAACAAGGCUCUGAGGAUCGAGUUGGUCGGGCUGUAUGCGAGAUACUUACAUGAGUUUGUAUCUAUGCUGGGCCUUUGUUUGAUCACUUUUGCUUUCGGGUGAUUGUGUUCAAUAUCGGAUCGGCAUGGAUCGCUCGUUUGUUGAUUGCUACAGCUACGUUGGUAGUGUUUGAAUGCAGGCAACUGUGUUUGGAUGCUAUCGUUUAAAAGCGUCAUCGGCUAACAACUAACGAUCGAAUCAGAACUCAAGCUCUCGCAGAAAUGUGAAUCAGUUUCAUCUGGUAAAGCGAAUGAUUAGAGGCCUUGGGAGCGAAACGCUCUCAACCUAUUCUCAAACUUUAAAUGGGUGAGAUGUACGACGUACUUAACUGACGCCGUAUUCAUACAGAAUGUAUUGAGAGCUUAGUGGGCCAUUUUUGGUAAGCAGAACUGGCGAUGCGGGAUGAACCGAAAGUGAAGUUAAGGUUGCCGAUAAUGGUGCUAACAAUUUGUGCACUAGCUACACUCAUGAGAUCCCAUGAAAGGUGUAAGUUGCUAAAGACAGCAAGGACGUGGCCAUGGAAGUCGGAAACAUCUAAGGAGUGUGUAACAACUCACUUGCCGAAGCAACUUGCCCUGAAAAUGGAAGCAGCUCGAGUGUUGAACCUAUACUUCACUCUAGUUAAGUAUCGAGUCGAUCGGUCUUGAUUAGGCCAGACAUCGAAAGUAGUCGCAAGAUUACGUUUCGGAAUACAAUAAAUGACGGCAAAGUGAAAUCAAAUUAUAUGUGAUCUGAGGUCUAUAAAAAUGGCCUACAGCGCAACAUAUGCCCACUCGUAUAGUUAUACGCGCAAGUGUUAACUGGGUGGAGCAAAGAGAUACUUGACUGGUAUUCUCUCACUUGGCCGUACCCAUAUCCGCAGCAGGUCUCCAAGGUUAACAGCCUCUGGUCACUUAGGAUAAUGUAGGUAAGGGAAGUCGGCAAAACGGAUCCGUAACUUCGGGAUAAGGAUUGUGAAGAGACAUGAGAGGUGUAGCAUAGGUGGGAGAUAUAUAUCGCAAGAUGUGUAUCGCAAGUGAAAUACCACUACUUUCAUUGUUUCUUUACUGA
rnacentral:rRNA from 1 species